UACGGGGGGGGCAAGCGUUGUUCGGAAUUACUGGGCGUAAAGCGUGCGUAGGCGGUUCGUUAAGUGCGUCGUGAAAGCCCCGGGCUCAACCUGGGAAUGGCGAUGGAAACUGGCGGGCUGGAGUAUGGCAGAGGGGGGUGGAAUUCCACGUGUAGCAGUGAAAUGCGUAGAGAUGUGGAGGAACACCGAUGGCGAAGGCAGCCCCCUGGGCUAACACUGACGCUCAUGCACGAAAGCGUGGGGAGCAAACAGG
rnacentral:rRNA from 1 species